rnacentral:rRNA from 1 species
GACGAACGCUGGCGGCGUGCCUAAUACAUGCAAGUAGAACGCACAGUCUAUACCGUAGCUUGCUACACCAUAGACUGUGAGUUGCGAACGGGUGAGUAACGCGUAGGUAACCUGCCUGGUAGCGGGGGGUAACUAUGGGAAACGAUAGCUAAUAUCGCAUAAUAUUAAUGAUUGCAUGAUGAUUGAUGGAAAGAUGCAACUGCAUCACUACCAGAUGGACCUGCGUUGUAUUAGCUAGUAGGUGAGGUAACGGCUCACCUAGGCGACGAUACAUAGCCGACCUGGGAGGGGGGUCGGCCACACUGGGACUGGGACACCGCCCAGGCUCCUUCGGGAGGCAGCAGUAGGGGAUCUUUGGCCAUAGACGGAAGUCUGACCGAGCAACGCCGCGUGGGUGAAGGAGGUUUUCGGAUCGUAAAGCUCUGUUGUUAGGGAAGAACGGGUGUGAGAGUGGAAAGUUCACACUGUGACGGUAUCUUACCAGAAAGCGACGGCUAACUACGUG